AAAUCAAUUUAAAAUUGAUAACAUAAGGGAAAAUAAUGAUAUUACCUUAUUAUUAGUGUCGUCCAAAACUGGUGCCAGAAGACUCGGUAAGGCCAGAGACACAAACGUUAAUCGUCUUAAUCAGGCGUAAAGGGUUUGUAGGCGGCUUUUAAUUUUCUUAUAAAAUUUUUUAAAAUUAAAUAAGUUAAGAAUAAAAGCUAGAAUCAAAUAGAGGAUAUAUCAAAUAAUGCUUAGAGUAGGUCUGAUAUCCAUAGAUACUAAGUAGAAUAUUAAAGGCGAAAGCUUUUUUCCAUAAAUGAUUGACGCUCAGAAACGAAGGUGAGGAUAGGAAAUAGGAUUAGAUACCCAAAAUACCCCUCUCUGUCAACGAUGAAUGGUAAUUAUUAAUAAUAAAUUUAUUAUUAAUGAUAAUGUUAACACGAUAACCAUUCCGCCUUGUGAGUACAACUGCAAAGUUGAAAACAAAAAAAUUAGUCGGUUUCGGAGCAAACGAAGUGAAGCAUGUUAUUUAAUUCGAUAAAUCCG
rnacentral:rRNA from 1 species